UCUCUCUGUGAGAAGACGACGACGAAGAUGCUUCGGCCGGAGUCUACCUCGACAGAGUCUAAUCUCUCUCGAUCAGAGCCUCGCCUGAAGAUGAUGAAGAUGCUCCUUAAAUCGUCCCAUGUAAAUCUCGUUUUCCAUUUCGUUAAAAUUUGAACUUGAAUAUGCAAAUUCGUUUACAUAAUCCUCGAUUUGAUUGCUGCGUUUUCACGCAGGGGCUCUUUGGAUGAUGGCGAUGAGUCAUUGAUGGUGAGAUCGGAGUAGGAAGGAUGAAGAUAAUUGCCGAGAUCAGAGGUUUUGUUUCCGGCGAUUCCAAAUCUUACUUCACUUCCUCGGUUGCUUGUUAGUGAGGGGAUUCAAGCUCGCAGCUCUUCAUCAUGAUGUAAAGCUCAAAGUGAACCUUCUCUCUUUGAUUCUCUUCAUUUUUUUAUCUUCUUUUAUUUGGCUAAGAUGUGAAACUGUGAGAAUUCGUGAAGUGGAUAAUGCUGAGAAUUGGUCUAUUGAUAUAUAGUGAUUUUGGAGUUUUGCUUGGUUUUGAUUCUUUGUUCAAAAUGCUUUCUUGUUCUCAAGUCUAGGAUACUGGAUUUAGAGAGCUCGUUUAGGGAGAUCAAUUAGGAAUUCGAGGUCUCCUCCCACAGAAUGUAGUUGUGUGUUUUUGUGUUCAGUAUAUAAACGCUAGUAGUUUUUCAAAAUUAUUAUAGUAUCUUUCUGCUAGUAAGAUAGUAUAUUUGUGUCUGAGAUAGUAUCUAUGAAUUUUUAUUGUGUUUUGUUCUCAAUAUGUAAGUGCAUUAGCUUUCUAUAGUAGUACGAAUGGAAUCAAGAUCUAUGGCCAUGUCUGAGCGUCAUUCUAUGUACACAAUAUUUGGAUCAAACUUUCAGAAUUUUAUAGAUUUUUUCUACUACUCAAUUUGUUUGCGUUGAAUAAGUGAUGUUGCAUUGAUAAGCCGCGAUUGUAUUCUUCAGCUUGAUCUUCAGUUUCUGAAAUGAACAUGCUUGUGCUUAUUCUAUUCAUAUAUGUAUAGCUGUAUUUUUUUUAGUUCCAACGAUAAUAGCCUUUUGAUAUUGUAAUAGUAGCUUUCUAUGUCUCUCGUAGUAUCUUUAUCAGUAUCUUAUUUUUUCAAAUCAGUAGCUCUCUAUAACUAUUUUAGUGGUUUUCCAUUACAGUAUAGUAGCUUUAGUUCCUAUGUUAGUAUCUUUUCAAGCUGAUGUCAGUAACUUUUGUUUACCUUGCUGUAACUAACUAUUGUAGUGGAUUUACCAUUUCACUUGGUCUAUAGAAUCUUUUCGACGUAGUCAUAUAUAAUAUCCUUUUAUCUUUAUUUUAGUAUAUUUUCAACAUGGAAUCAGUAGCUUUCUUAUUGUAUGAUAGUAUAUUUUCAACACAGUUAUAGUAUCUUUUAAUGUCUAUGUUAAUAUCUUUUUGACAGUAUAGUAGUAUCUUUUCAAAAUGAUUUCAGUAGCUUACUCAUUGUGUGGUAGUAUCUUUUCAACGUGAUGUCAAUAGCUUCUAUUUGCAUUCCAAAUACUAAUAUUUUGUUGUUUAUUUGCUCUUGCAGAAUUCUUCCCUUUACAUUUGUAGCGAUAUAUUUUGAAAAUCAUGUGAAUUAGAACAUUGAAGCCUCCAUAAAGAUCAUUCGGCCAACCAAGAUCAUCGUGCUCAAGGUGGAAAAAUUAUGCCUUUGAGUUUUGAGCAUCACCAUUAAAAACUGAUAGUAGUUGUGGUAGUAGACUUCUGCAACUACAACAAUAGCUUUAUGUAACUAUGGAAGUAGCUUUAUACAUAAUUAUCAUUGUACAAGGCUUCAAACUUUUUGUAUUAUUGAAUUUGUUAGUAGUGGAUUUUUAUUAUGCAUGGUAGUAGCUUUUCUUAAUGGCAGUAGUAUCUUUUGUCGUUGGAUGUAGUAUCUUUUGUUGUUGGAGGUAGUAUAUUUUCCUGUUGGUGGUAAUAUCUUUUCUUGGUUGUGAUAGUAGCUUUUCUUAAUGGUAGUAGUAUCUUUUGUUGUUGGAUGUAGUAUCUUUUGUUAAUGGUAAUAGCUUUUGUUGCUAACGAUAGUAGCUUUUGUUGCUAACGAUAGUAGCUUUUGUUGCUAACGGUAGUAUCUUUCGUUGUUGGUGGUAGUAGCUUUGGUUGUUGAUAGAAGUGAUUUUUGUUGCUGGCGGUAGUAGUUUUCGUUGAUGACGGUAGUAUCUUUCGUUGUCAGUGAUAGUAGCUUUCUUUAUUGACAGUAGUGUAGCUCUCUUUGCUAGCGGUAGUAUCUUUUGUUGUCAGUGGUAGUAGCUCUCUUUGCUAGUGGCAGUAACUUUUGUUGUGUCUGUAGUUUCUUUUAUUGUCAGUGAUAGUAGCUUUCUUUGCUGGCCGUAGUAGUUUUUGUUGUCGGUGAUAGUAGCUUUUGUUGUCAGUGAUAGUAGCUUUUGUGGUCGGUAGUAGUAGUUUUUGUGGUCGGCAGAAUUCUCACUGAUGGUCGACCGGAAAAGUUCGCCGGAGGUCGGCCGGAGACCUUGCCGGAGGUUGGCCGAAGACUUUUUGUGGUUGUUAACUUUUUACAUUUGUGGCAGUUUUGUAAAUAUAAGAGAGAAAAUCUAAUUUUUUUGGUUGAAUGGCAAUAUGUAAUUUUGUUGAACUUUAAUACCAAAUAUAAGACACUAUUUAGACUUGGGUGGACUUAUAUGGGUAAAAAUGUUUAGGUGGAUUUAUAUAAGAGAAAAUGUCUUAAAGUAGAGAUAAUUGGCCCUUAAAAAAAAGGUUACUAAACUGAAAAGAAAAAUGAAAUUUGGAAUUCAUUAAAUACAUUAAAAAAUAACUAAAAUAAAUUCAUCAAUUGCAAAGUAAUUUUACAUAAUAGAAUGAUAAAAAAAUAAAUUAUUCAUUAUGGUGAGUUGAUUAAAUAUGAAUAGAGUAUAUGGCAAGAGUUGAUUAAGGUAGGAGAAAUAAAUUAGAUAAAUUAAACUUAGUAACAAUAAAUGGUGUUUAUAGUUUAAUAGGAAAGGAAUAGGGGCCAAACCCUCUAAAUUAGAACAAACUCUUUGAUAAGUAAAGCUUAAUACAUAAGUUCAAAAAAAUUACAGGGGUGCCAUAACACCCUUGGCCUCAAUAUAGCUCCGCCUGUGACCAAAGUGUAAGUGAAAAUAUCUAUUUUUUAGACGAAGUUACUACGUUUUAGUACACGAGGUCAUACUAAGCGAAAAAAUGUUUUUUCAGCACGAACCUAUGUUUUGAGUUCCUCGAGAUCACAAUGUAAAAGAUCAGAAUUGAGGACAAUCCUACAAGAUAUAGUUAAUCAUUGUCCAAUGUCACAUUUGGAGACAUAUUAAAAAACAUUGAUAUGCUAAGUUAACGAAGCUUCAAUGAUUAAUGUAAG
rnacentral:lncRNA from 1 species